rnacentral:lncRNA from 1 species
AGGCUACUAUACUAUCGGUAGCACGGAGCGUUCCGUAGUACCAAGUUGUUUUCGAUGAUGCGGCUUCCAAAUCGACGAUCGGCUCUGUUAGACUUGAUCUACACUAUUAAAAGUAUUUAGAAACUAAAUUUCAUAAUUUUUCGAUAUCAUUUACCUAUCAAACAACUAGUCUAAAAUUGAACGGCUAAAAAUAAAAAUCUCAUAAAAAAUGAUGAUAAAAAAUUUAAAUUCAAGAUCAGAUAUACUGAUCUUACUCUAAAUAGUUAAAAUAAUUUUCUAUAAAAUUUUUAUCGGAUUUGGAUUGUUUUACACCGUUAAACUCUCAAACACACCACAUCGGCCAUUAAAAUUAUCAAUUUUGAGAUCUUUUGAUCACUAGUCAAAGAAUUUAGUUUCCAAAUACUUUCAAUAGUGUAGAUCAAGUCUAACGGAGCCGAUCGUCGAUUUGGAAGCCGCAUCAUCGAAAACAACUUGGUAGCACGGAGCGUUCCGUGCUACCGAUAGUAUAGUAGCCGGACUCUAUAUAUAUAUAGGUAUAAUUAAUCAGAUGUACAUAUAACUCAUCAUAUGUAUAGUAUUAAUUAAUUAAUUAACUUUUCAACAAACUUUAAUUUUUGUUGGACGUGAUCCGCGCGCCAGGGACCAGCUGUAGACUACAAGAAAUUAGAACACAAAUGCAUUAAAAAGUUUGUAUUUUCUUCUUCUUCUUUUUUCUUUUUUUUUUUUUGACUAAAAUUACAGUUCUCUUAUAAAUAUUUAUUUUUUUAUCCCUAUUUUUUUAAAAAAUUAAUAUUUUACUCUCUUAAUAUUUUGUAUGUUGGUGCAUUAAUUUAGCCCCUCUCAGUCAGGUGUCCAUCAUUAUUCCAUUCAUUUUUUUAUAAUUUAUACAGAAAAUAUUCUUCAAAAUAACAAAAAUAUUUUCAAAAAUUAUUCUUUCUAUAGAAGAAGUAAGGGUAAUUUAAUUAUUUUGUCCUCUUCAUUAACGUCGUAAUUCUUUGAAAAUAUUUUCCCAAAUUUCAAGAGGACAAAAUACAGAUUUUAAAAAUCAUAAAGGAAAAAUGAAAAAAUGAGUAUUUACAGUAAGUUUUUUUUUUUUUUUUUGUAAUUUAGCCUAUUUAUUAUAUAUUUUUAUUAAAUCUUUCAAACUCUAUUAAGAAACUUAUUAAUAAUUUUUAAAAAUAGUGGAAUUCUAAUAAGCUAUGUUACCGAUAAGAGGACUGUAAUAAUCAUUAUCAAUAUUUUAAUUAUUAUCACCAUACGACACGGUAAAUACGAUCCGUUUCGAUGGGCACUUAAAUCAAUCUUGGGUUAUAACCCACCCCAUU